GACAGGGGGUGCAAACGUUGUUCGGAAUUACUGGGCGUAAAGCGCGUGUAGGCGGCUAAGUAAGUCGGGCGUGAAAUCCCACGGCUCAACCGUGGAAGUGCACUCGAAACUGCAUAGCUAGAGUCCUGGAGAGGAAGGUGGAAUGCUUGGUGUAGAGGUGAAAUUCGUAGAUAUCAAGCGGAACACCGGUGGCGAAGGCGGCCUUCUGGACAGUGACUGACGCUGAGACGCGAAAGCGUGGGGAGCAAGCGGG
rnacentral:rRNA from 1 species